CGUGCCCCUUCUCCCUCCCAGGCCGCCGCCCCUCGUGCAUCUCCCGAGAGAGCUCGCCUCCUCCUUGACCACCGCCCCAUCCUCUGCAGUCCGCUAGGGGCCAUGACUCUUGCAUCGCUCGUUGCCGCGCAUCCUUAGCGCUGGCCGGCUGCCCUGUGGGUUGUGCCCGUCACCACGGGUCCCCGCCCCUGCAGCCCAACGCGCGCUCACCCCUAUCCAUCGACACCAAGGACAUCACAGAAUAGCUGCUCCUCGUCGGCGCCGUGAGGCCUUCCCGUCCAAGGCAUCAACGAACUGUCUAUGCUUGGUCAGCUGAGGCUAAUGAAGCAGCUAGCAUGCUGGAGUAGAUAUAUGAGGCAGCAUAUAGCAGAGGCUUGGCGGAGGCUUGCCGUUUAAGACAAAUGCUAGAUUACAAUUAUUAUCUGUUGUUCGAAUGUUGUAAUUAAUUUUCAAUUCAUGUGAACUUGGCAAAUUUUAUCCGUAUUCUGUAUGAUUCAGUUAUGAUUUUCUUAAAUGGCUGAACA